rnacentral:rRNA from 1 species
GACGAACCGUCCUAACGUUGUUCGGAAUCACUGGGCUUAAAGGGCGCGUAGGCGGUUGAUCAAGUCGGGGGUGAAAUACUUCAGCUUAACUGGAGAAGUGCCUUCGAUACUGAUUGACUCGAGGGAGGUAGGGGUCUUUGGAACUUCUGGUGGAGCGGUGAAAUGCGUUGAUAUCAGAAGGAACGCCGGUGGCGAAAGCGAAGGACUGGACCUCUUCUGACGCUGAGGCGCGAAAGCUAGGGGAGCAAACGGG